UCAGGUAGCAAUGCAUGGAAGAUCAGUCACAGCACUUCUACCUGACUUCUCAUUGACUCCAGUCAUAGGCCAAAGUCAUAGAUCUGCUCUUGUCAAACUUACCAGUGGGUUUCAUCUCGGAAAACUGUUCUGAGAUUUGAACUGUGGGCAUGAGCCGAGGAGGCUCAGGCACUUGGAGAUCCAGGAGGUAUCAAGCACACAGAUUCUCCACACCAUGCAGCCACUUCUGAGGAAUGGGGAACAGGUGGCAUCAGCACUUCAAGACUGUCUUUCCUGCUCUCUUCAAUAAUUCUUUCAGUGAUAUGAAGCUAAACCAGGUACUGUGAUUUUUUCACCUGAUUUUUAAUUCUUGUGAUGAUGCUUUUUGUGUGUAGCUAGUUGUUAAAAUUUGGUGCUCCUACAGGGGUGACAAAUGGUGUAGGCUUCUGUUUGGCCAUCUUGCUCUGCCUCCUCCUUUUGCUCAUUUUAAAAUUGGAUGAUUUGUGGAGUUUUGUUUUGUUUUGUUUUUUGCUGUUGAGUUGUUUGAACUCCUUGUGAAU